rnacentral:rRNA from 1 species
CACUCCUACGGGAGGCAGCAGUGGGGAAUAUUGGACAAUGGGCGCAAGCCUGAUCCAGCCAUGCCGCGUGAGUGAUGAAGGCCCUAGGGUUGUAAAGCUCUUUCACCGGUGAAGAUAAUGACGGUAACCGGAGAAGAAGCCCCGGCUAACUUCGUGCCAGCAGCCGCGGUAAUACGAAGGGGGCUAGCGUUGUUCGGAUUUACUGGGCGUAAAGCGCACGUAGGCGGACUAUUAAGUCAGGGGUGAAAUCCCGGGGCUCAACCCCGGAACUGCCUUUGAUACUGGUAGUCUUGAGUUCGAGAGAGGUGAGUGGAAUUCCGAGUGUAGAGGUGAAAUUCGUAGAUAUUCGGAGGAACACCAGUGGCGAAGGCGGCUCACUGGCUCGAUACUGACGCUGAGGUGCGAAAGCGUGGGGAGCAAACAGGAUUAGAAACCCGUGUAGUCCCAUG